rnacentral:rRNA from 1 species
CCCAGUGAUGAUAGCGGUGGGGUCACACCUCUUACCAUUCCGAACAGAGUAGUUAAACUCAUCAGCGCCGAAAAUACUUCGGGUAAUCCGUGGGAAGAUAGGUCGUCGCUGGGG